rnacentral:lncRNA from 1 species
ACUCUUUGAAAAACUGGCCCACGAACAGAGAUUCUGAUUAAGAAAUUCUGUUGACCUAGAAGAAGGUGUUAGGCACCCCACGAUCCCGUAGCUCGACCAUGAUCACUUCUUGGAGUAUAUCGGCUAGCAAACACUAUGGAAUGUAUAAACAAACAAAAACACAUAAAUAAAAAAACAAACAACCAAAACAAUCAAAAAUCUAAAAUAGUGUUCAGCCCAGUUUAUUACAAAUUAGAAUAAAAAUAUUGAAAUAUAAACCUACACUAAUCCUAAACUACGCUGCAUCCGGUGCCUCGAGCCUUGAUCACUCGGCAUUUUCGAUUACAACUCCCCUCAGGGCAUUCCCUCAAUAAAAAAAUAAAUAUAACCUUGGGGCAUUCCCAGAAUCAAACAAUACCUGAAACCUCGAGGCAUUCUCCGACCAAAUGAGUAUAAUUGAUCCAAAUACGAUAAAACAAAAUCAAUCAACAAACAUUCAAAUAUUCAACAAUCCACAAGUCCUAAACUUUUGCCUACCCAGCCUACCGUUUGUCUACCCAUUUCGUCCUAUCAUGAUACUGUCACAUUCAACAACAUCAAUAUUUAUUUCGAAUUAAACCAACAUCGAUAAAUCAAAACUAUCGAUAUCACCCUUAGUAAUCUAGAAUUAUCACCCCCGAAUUCAUUUUUUAACACAAACUCUCCACGCAAAAUUGACUACCCAAAUUCACAUUGUCAUCAAAUUUAUAUCAUCGGCAUUAAUUUUUUACCACGAACAAACAUCAAACAAAACGAUCACAUAAACUUAAAAGAAAAAGAUGAGAGAAUUGAACCUCGAAUUUUCAAUUGAAAUUACUCCUUCUGAUUAAAACCGCGUCCAAAUCUCAAACCAAACCUCAAAUAACGAACAAAAACAAACCUCGAUAUAACCCUUUUUGCUCUUUUUUUUUUCGCCAAGCUGGACCAAAAUCACGAAGACCCAUUUUUUUCAAUGGUUUCCCGAUGGAUAUUCGCCGAAAAGGGAAGGGGUGACUGUUGGAUGUGAUCUGAUCAGAAAAUCGGAGGAAGGGGUGGAUCUGGUGGUCGCCGGCGGGAUCCGGUUGGAAUCGGGACUGGGCGUUGCUGGUGUGUCGCCGGUGGAGGGGAUGUUUACAGCAAGAUUUCGCCGGAAAAUCCAAUGGUGUGGGCUGCUGCUUCCUCACCCUUUUUCUCACGGUUUUCUACAUUCUCCUCUCUCUCUCCGUCUCUCUCUCUAGCGUCUCUCUCACUCUNNNNN